rnacentral:rRNA from 1 species
UGCGAUACAGGGUGACAGCCCCGUACACAAAAAUGCACAUACUGUGAGCUCGAUGAGUAGGGCGGGACACGUGGUAUCCUGUCUGAAUAUGGGGGGACCAUCCUCCAAGGCUAAAUACUCCUGACUGACCGAUAGUGAACCAGUACCGUGAGGGAAAGGCGAAAAGAACCCCGGCGAGGGGAGUGAAAAAGAACCUGAAACCGUGUACGUACAAGCAGUGGGAGCACGCUUAGGCGUGUGACUGCGUACCUUUUGUAUAAUGGGUCAGCGACUUAUAUUCUGUAGCAAGGUUAACCGAAUAGGGGAGCCGAAGGGAAACCGAGUCUUAACUGGGCGUUAAGUUGCAGGGUAUAGACCCGAAACCCGGUGAUCUAGCCAUGGGCAGGUUGAAGGUUGGGUAACACUAACUGGAGGACCGAACCGACUAAUGUUGAAAAAUUAGCGGAUGACUUGUGGCUGGGGGUGAAAGGCCAAUCAAACCGGGAGAUAGCUGGUUCUCCCCGAAAGCUAUUUAGGUAGCGCCUCGUGAAUUCAUCUCCGGGGGUAGAGCACUGUUUCGGCAAGGGGGUCAUCCCGACUUACCAACCCGAUGCAAACUGCGAAUACCGGAGAAUGUUAUCACGGGAGACACACGGCGGGUGCUAACGUCCGUCGUGAAGAGGGAAACAACCCAGACCGCCAGCUAAGGUCCCAAAGUCAUGGUUAAGUGGGAAACGAUGUGGGAAGGCCCAGACAGCCAGGAUGUUGGCUUAGAAGCAGCCAUCAUUUAAAGAAAGCGUAAUAGCUCACUGGUCGAGUCGGCCUGCGCGGAAGAUGUAACGGGGCUAAACCAUGCAC